UACAGAGGUCUCAAGCGUUGUUUCGGAUUCAUUGGGCGUAAAGGGUGCGUAGGCGGCGCGGUAAGUCGGGUGUGAAAUCUCGGAGCUUAACUCCGAAACUGCAUUCGAUACUGCCGUGCUUGAGGACUGGAGAGGAGACUGGAAUUUACGGUGUAGCGGUGAAAUGCGUAGAUAUCGUAAGGAAGACCAGUGGCGAAGGCGGGUCUCUGGACAGUUCCUGACGCUGAGGCAACGAAAGGU
rnacentral:rRNA from 1 species